rnacentral:tRNA from 1 species
GCCUGCUUAGCUCAGUUGGUAGUAGCAGCGGUCUUGUAAACCGCAGGUCAUCGGUUCGAAUCCGAUAGUAGGCU